CCAUAUUUGGUUUUUAUGUUGCUGGAACUGUACCUAAGGAGGGUCCAUUCUGCUCCGUACUCAGAUUUUCCUCCAAGAAGUAGUGCUAUCAAUUCCACACAAUGGAAGUCUUAAUUUACUGUUGUCUCUAAGAUACUCUGACAGUCUUAGAAGUUCAAAAUAAAUUAAUAUGGUAAGUUAAACUCCGCCUUCCUAAUUUAUUCCUGAAAUGUCAACAGGAUUUAUUGGACUUUGUUUUCUGCCCUACACUCCUUGUGUAGCUGAGGUCUGUUAAACAGAUAUAUUUUCCCACAGAUGUGACAAACUUCAAGUGAUGACUGAAAUAAAUGUUGUAUAAUUUUUCAAGUACUUUGGGACUCAUAUGGAAUAUAAGGCUUUAGAACAGUGUUUCUCAAACUUUUUUUAAAGUAUCCUUUCUUCAAAAAAAAAAAAAAAUUAGAAGUCCCCCUUUAAAAAAUAUUUUUGAAGUACCUAGUUUUCAGACAAUUUUUUUUCUACCAUUGCAACACAUUUGUUUAAACAACUUAAUCGUAGCUGGGCAGAAGAUGAAAUUUUUAGGUGUGAAAAGUACAAAAAUAAUAAAGCACUGUAAAACAUAAACCAAAAAUUCAGUUUUCUUCAAAUUUCAGUUGUGUUGAUGUACCCUACCCCCCAGACUCCUCAAGUCCAUAUCACUGGUUGAGAAACACUGCUUUAGACCACCUGAACAGCAAAGAAAUCCCAUAUUUACAACAAUACAUUUAAUUUAAUAUAUUUCAUAUAAUUUUUAAAAAACUUUUCCUUCCCAAAACUAUCUAAACUGCUUAUGUACAACCAGCUACUUUUCAACAUUAAUGGCCUCUUUUAAAAAAUAAUGAAAGUACACAGUAGCUGAAAAAUGCAAUGCUUUUCUAUGGAGAUCUGUCUUGGUAAUUUUCAGCACCAAGCAGUUAGCACCAAGAAUCUAGCUUCUUGCUACAAUGUAAGCAGAAAUACUCUUCCCUUUACCAGCCCUGCCAUCCCUCUUCCCCUGAUAGCUUCAAUCAAGUUGGACAGUGUUAAUGUCAGUCUGACCCAAACUUAGUGUAAGAAGAGACUGCUGCCAUUAGUAAGGAAAGCAGCCAACUCCUGUGUAGAGCACAAGUGGUUAGCAGCUGAGAAAAUGAAAAGCACCUACCUACUAUAAAAAAGACUGGGAUUUACUGCAUCUGCUGUACUGAACACAGUCCCUUAUCUCUGUCCCUUAAAAAUGCUUCCAAAUCUACCUGUAUCUCCUUUUCUCUUAAAAUAAAAAUCAACUACAAAUAAUCCGGGCCUUUUAGUAUCCCCAAAAUAUUAACCCAUAUCAGGAAAAUGCUAUCACUGUCUUCUUAAAAAAAAUACAAUAAAAUACAUUUGUAGAACAGAACCCUCACUUAGGUGAGCCAGUGCAGUGGUUCCCAACUGCUGGGCUACAGACCGGUGGCUGGCAGGCCACAGCAGCUUUGGGGGCGAGGGCUGGGAUAUACCGCGCAGCACCUCCUCUCCUGGUGCAGCCCCAUCUCUCAGCCAACAAGUCCCGGCAGGGGCAGGGUCUCCUCCUAGCCAUGGAAGAGUAGUCUGCUGCAUGGCAAAAGGGCAGUGCGGAGCCUGGCAUGUCAGCCUUAGAGCAGCCACAACCUGGGUAGCAGCGCUCAGCUGGCAGCUGGGAGAUAGCGCAGGGCUAGGUAAGGAGGGAUAGGGAAGGCACUGGGAGGGUUUGGGGGCGAAGCUAAUACUGGGGGGCUCUAGGGCAGGACUAGUACUGGGGAGCUCUAAGGAGGGCGGGUGCUAAAAGGCAGGGGGUCUGACAGGGGGGAAUUGAGGUGUUCUGGUGGGGAGCUGGCACUGAGGGGCUCUGAGGGCAGGGUUAGUAGUGAGAGGACUUUGGGGGCACAGCUGUCACUGGAGGGGUUAAGUACAGUGGGGCUCUAAAAACAGGAGGCUGGAACUGGGUUGUUUGGUGGGGGGUUCUAAGAGGUGGAGGGCUGGCACUGAAGCAUUUGGGAUGGGGGACUAGCACUAGGGGAGUUGGGUACAGCGGGCUCUGAGGUCAGCGGCUGGCGUGGGGGAGUAGUGGAGGUGUGGGGAGCUCUGGAGGUUAGGGCUGGCACUGGGGGGGCUCUAGGGGCCAGGAGUUUUAGACCACAGACCACCAAACUUUUGGCGGACGGGUAACAUUUUAUUUGCAUGUUUGCAUAUUCAUUAUUCAAAUUCAGGAAAUUCCACUGACUGCUCAAUUAGCUGAUUACACACAAUUUUACCAAAUACAGUGGACAUUUAGGUAACUAACCACUGUGCUUGUUUCUAUGCAUAUUUAGAACAGUUUUAAACUAACAAUGUUGAUAAUGAAGAUUCUUUUCCUUAUACUUGAGCUUAUACACUUAAUAAAGGCUACUAAAUAUUAUACAUUCUGUUAAACCAACUCACUACACAAAAAGUAUUUUUGUCAUAGUUUCACAAUUUGGAAUCCAUUGUUUUGUUAAUAAUGGAAAAAUUAAUUUGCUAUGUAGAAGAGAAACAUUACAUAGAUUUAUUCUUAUAAUUCAACUUUCUAUUCCAUUUCAAGUUUUCAUGAACUAGAAAUUAAUUCUUUUCAUGCAUAUUAAUUAAAAUAGUGUAUCAUACAUUUAUCCAGCUCUUUCAGCAGAAAUCUGAAAUCAUUUUUAAAAAAAGCUAAACACCAUAACGAAAUGCUUCACCCACUAUUGAACAGAAAUGUAGUAUAAUAUAUGGAGAUAUAUCAUCUCAUAGAACUGGAAGGAGCUUUGAGAGGUCAUCGAGUCCAGUCCCCUGCCCACACAGCAGGACCAAGUACCAUCCCACGUAUCAUCAGUUUAGCUAUACAGACUGUCACUAUAAAAUAAUUCAUGGAAAAACUGUCCAAUGCAUCUAAUUACAACUGCAGAAAGACGUCUGUAGAUAAAUUAAAUGAUCUAAAAUGGAAAUUGGCUUGGAAUAUUUGGGUCGACAGUCUUGCAAAAAGUCAUAAGGACUUCAAUAUCUCUUCCAGAAGGUGGUACCUCAUAACAGUAUCCUGUGAAUACCAGCAUGGGAAACUGGUUUAGCUGCCUGGCUUUUCUAUACAUCAAGUUAGCAUGCAGUAGGGACGUAAAAUCCCAUUGAAUUAGUUAACCAGUUAAAUGCCAAGUUUAACCAGUUAACAACCGUUAAUGGAUUAAAUGAGGCAGGCUGGAGCAGUCCCCUCACCAUGAACAGGGGCUGCUCCAGCCCUGCUGCUUCUGAACCCACACUGGACUGCUGUCUGCCAGCCCACGCGGGGCUGAGAACAGCAGCUGGAGGGAGUGGGGAGAGAGGAAAGAGGGUUACCUAUUCACAUCCCUACUACACCGCAAGCCAGGAUGUGAAUCUGUGGCACAUCAACCUGCCAUGCAACAACAUCCUGCACUGAAAGCAUAGUUAGUUAGCUAAUCAAAAAUCCUAGACUGUGACUUGGCUAACUGUAGUUACAAGCCAGGAUGAACUCCAGAACUUUCACUAUGCUACAACAAUGCCAACAUGGGCACAUUACAGAAUAGCAGGUUGGUGUGCCGUGGUGAUGCCCUGGCUUUCCAUGCAGGUGAGCACUUAUGCUUCCAACUAAAUUACCAACUUCACCUGAGUUUUCCAUUGAUAUUUUCUGUCCUAAUUUAGAUAGAGUUACCUCCGUACUUAACUUACAAGUGUUUACCUUGUGGAAACAGAACACAUUGUGGCAUUUAUAUAUACAGGCAGUCCCCGGGUUACGUACAAGAUAGGGACUGUAGGUUUGUUCUUAAGU